GACGAACGCUGGCGGCGUGCUUAACACAUGCAAGUCGAACGGAAAGGCCCUGCUUGCAGGGUACUCGAGUGGCGAACGGGUGAGUAACACGUGGGUGAUCUGCCCUGCACUUCGGGAUAAGCCUGGGAAACUGGGUCUAAUACCGGAUAGGAGCCAUUUUUAGUGUGAUGGUUGGAAAGUUUUUUCGGUGUAGGAUGAGCUCGCGGCCUAUCAGCUUGUUGGUGGGGUAAUGGCCUACCAAGGCGGCGACGGGUAGCCGGCCUGAGAGGGUGGACGGCCACAUUGGGACCGAGAGACGGGCCAGACUCCUAAGGGGGGCAGCAGGGGGGAAAGUUGCACCAAGGGCGGCAGCCUGAUGCAGCGACGCCGCGUGGGGGAUGACGGCCUUCGGGUUGUAAACUCCUUUCGCUAGGGACGAAGCUUUUUGUGACGGUACCUAGAUAAGAAGCACCGGCUAACUACGUG
rnacentral:rRNA from 1 species